GGUAAUCAAAUUGGACCACAGCCCAGGGAAACUGUGAGGUCUUACUGAGCACUGCGUGCCAGUGGAAAGAAGCAUUUUGAAAGGUAAACUGGUGGGGGCGAUGGGGUUCAGAUAUUCUCUGAGACCGGGAACGUCACUGCUCUCCCCGGGAAGCUGCUUUAGGCACAGUGCUCCUGCCUGACUCGGGAAGACUGCUCUCCUGGCCUCCUGGAAGUCAUAUGGGAAACAGAUACCCAGUUUUUCAGCUCCAUUAACUGAAAGACUCUUUUCCUGAAUGUUGUCCUUGCAUCAUUGCACAAAAUCAGCUUACCAUAAAGGGUUGUAGGAUUUUUCUUCUCAGUCACUUUGCAAGCCAGGGACCCUCGAUCGAUGACGCCCCGCCCGGGCCUUGCUCUGCCACGCUGCAUGCCCCAGCUCGCCUGUGUGAUAGCUUGUACCCACGUUCAGUGGUUCCUGAGCUUUUGCACCCUGCCCAAGAAGAAUGAGGAUAUGCUGGACAUUGAAGGGGUGGCCUUGUUUGAUGUUGCUGUUUUAUGAAAUUACACUAUCCAUGUACAACAUAAGGAAAAUGUGACCCAGCUGAGAGCGCCAGGCCAGAUUCUGGCAACACCGAUGUCUGGAUGUCAGUGCCAAACCAGCUCCCUGAUUUCCAUCCAUUGAAGUCUGAGUUCCGUGAGAAACAGAAUCAGAACUCUUGCCAAUUGGACUGCAAGAUGUCUUCAUCUACGUAUGCUGUCAUAAAAAACACUAUGGACUAUGGGGCAAGAAAAAUGUAAUAUUUUUCUCUCACGGUUUUGGAGACUGGAAAGUUCAAGUGUCCAGCAGGGCUCAUUUUGUGUUGGGGGCUCUCUUUCUGGCAUGCAGAUGCUUCCUUCUCGCUGUGUCCUCGCAUGGUGGCAAGAGAGCAACCUCAGGUGUCUCUUUCUCUUUCAAAGGACACCAGUUCUCUCAGAUCAGGGCUUCACCGUUAUGAUCUCUCUUAAUCUUAAUCUGUCCUUCAAGGUCAUAUUUCCAACAUAGUCACACGGAGGCUUAGGGCUUUUAACAUACACGUAUGAAUUUUGGGGGACACCAUUCAGUCCAUAGCAAAAGGCCAGCUUCUGAUAUUCCCACAUCAGUCAGUGAUUGGAUAUAGACCAAUGGGAAUGUGUGAUAAUCCUUGGAUCAUCUGAGGCAAUCUCCAAAAAGGCUGAAAACCGAGGGCUGCCUACCGCUGGCACUCUGAGCAGCAUACACCACAUGCUCCAUCAGUGUUACUGCCCUCAGCUGGGGAGAACCCCCCUCACACAAGUUGUGAUACCUUCCUAGAGGCAGCCUGCAUUCAAUGACAGCUUGAGAGGGGCGUAAAGGGCCAGCCACUCUGACCUGAUUCAGGACAAUUCUGCAAGGCUCUCCAAGCUCCAGAAUUCCUAUACUGUUUCCUGAACCUUUGUUGUCACCGUUUCCCAAACUACUUUUCUUUUUGUCAAUCCUGACCCUUUCCCUCUCCUACUACAGAUGUUGGUCACUCGAAUACUCGCAGCACACUUCUAUGAAUGAAUCUUUGUCUCAGAGAUUGCUCCCCAAGGAACCCAGUCAGUGCCAUCGGAAAUCAAAACAUUUAUUUAUUUAUUUUAAAAAUAUGUAAAUAAAAUGAUUAUUUUCACCAUUUUAAUGUACAAGUUAGUGAUCAUUACACAUUUAAUACUUGCAUGAAAACAUCACAUUUACCGCAUAAAUAUGGACAACUAUUAUGCAUCUAUUAUAAUUAAAAAUAAAACAUUUAUAAAUGAGAACAUACUGGAAAUGUGUAGUCAUGAUGGUGGCACCAUCUUAUGUUUUUAAAUUAAGAAUUUUGGAGCAGGAAAUGUUUUCUGUCUGUACCUAGGUCUUUACAUAUCAGAAAAUUUCAUAAAAGACCAGAAUAAAAGUAGCCAUACAAAAUACAACCACAAAAUAUGUAUUAAAUAGCCUACCAAAAUGCCACAAUGUAUCAUUAUAAUCACUAUUAAAUAUUUAUUAUGCAACAGUAUCAUUUAUGCAAUAGGAUUUUUUAUAAACCAGCAAUUUGCACUUUGAAAUUCAAUUUCAGUGAAUCACAAGCUUAAAAAUUGAAAUUCAAAUUAAGCAUUUCCUUUAUUCAAAGUCAUAUAUCAUAUUGAAAAUAAUCUGUAUUUUUAUUGCAAAAGAACACUUUAAGAAAACCCUAGAGAAUUGUUUGACCUAAUAAUUGUAAUUGUGCAUGUAUUUCUUAAUAUUAUUGAUUAAAUUUAUAUUUAGCCAUUUCUCUCAGCUAUAUAUAGUUACAGCAAAGCUAUUUUGCAUCAACAUAUAUGUCUCCCUAACUAUGAUAAAGAAUAUGGUAAUGAUGUUGUAAAUUGAUUGGAAAAGAUGAUCUAUCAAUUCUUUUGCAGCUUCCGAAUUCCAAAAGGUCAUUGCAUGCUAUGUGUAUAUUUUUAUUCUUUCAAAUCCUUCCGAUUACACAGAAAUAAUAAAAUAUUACCCACAGCAACCAAA